ensembl:lncRNA
GCAAGAUGAAGCCCUUUCCCGCUACAGUGUCUCAGGAGAAGUCCCACGUUAGGUAUUGGAGGUCGAAACGGUACUUGGCACCCUUGAUGCGACCCACAAAGUGCCCCGACAUCCCGGUCUCCCUCAAGAGGAACACCGAGGUUUUCCCGAACCACUUCCUCUGAGCCCCUUCUACCCUCCUGAUCUCGACAGGAGGGUCGACUCCGCUGCUUUGUCUGGAAGGGGUUCCCGACCUUCCGGUCGCACCUCAGGAUGAGGCCGGUCUCACGACGACAUUCCAGACGUGGCCUCGUGGGUGGUUCCACAUUCCGAAGGACCCCGAUUUCCCGGUCCCCUCUUGAUAAGAACCCGAUGCCCGGACACCUCUCCGAACUCCACCCUGUGAAUGAAGUCAACACGAAGGGGCAGUCACUCGUCCAUGUAUCGUCCGGAAAAACCCCCAGGUUCCAAAUACAGCUCGACAAGUGGCCUCUCUCCCCGGGGAGACCUCGAGAGAUAAGCGGAGUUCCAUGCCACAACCCAAGACGAGGCCUGACUCUCCUGUUCCCAGUCUGCAGGGACCCUGCGAUCAGAGUCUGAAAUCAGAGGAACCCGGACGUUCCUGCCUCACCUGGAGAUGAGGCCCUCUUCCAAUGCACCAAACCCAGUGGAGUGCCGAGAGGCCCCUCCCACCUCCAGUUUCCCUGACUUCUCAGAGCCACCAUGAGAAGCCCCCUGAGGUCACCUGCACAAGUCCAGGGAAGCCAGGGUUUCCUGCCUCAAUCCGAGAAAGACCUCGAAAAAACAGGAACAAAAUGAAAAUUUAAAUGUGAUAUGAGCUUUUAGAUAAACUAUGAACACUAAUUACACUCGAAAAUAUCUGCCUAUGAGAGUCUUGAUUGAAGGCAGAGGAGAAGGGGUCGACAGAGGCUAAGAUGGUUGGAUGGCAUCACUGAUUCGAUGGACAUGAGUUUGAGCAAGCCCCUGGAGUUGGUGAUGGACACGGAAGCCCAGCGUCCUGCAGGCCACGGGGUCCCAAAGAGUCAGACACGACUGAGCCACUGAACUGAACUGAACAUACAAUCGUUUCUCCAGGUGUUUUGGUUACCCGAGUUUCUAUCCUGUGCUAAACUAAGUGACGACAGUGUACUGAAGAGCUGGGUCAUUUCCAAAUAAAUUAAAGUUCUGAAACAUUCACGCCUUGAAAGGACCUCCCUUUUACACAGAAACAAAAGAGAUUUUUGACUAUCCAAUAAUAGUGUCUGGCACCAUCCUGACAUGUGAAACGUAAGAAAGCAAUUUUUUUUGUUUUGUUUGGUUCUGAUAUUGGGUGUGUGUGUGUGUGUGUGUGUGUGUGUGUGUGUGUGCGUGAGUGCGGGGGAGGGGAGGGGCGCUACUAUCACUGAUAGGUAUGUUCACCAAUCUGUCGAAUGCCAAUAUAAAAGUCAGUUCUUGGUUGCUGAAGGGAAAUGUAUGACUUGGUAUUAAAAGAAGGUAUGUGGCAUGAAAUCGCAUUUUCUGAAGGAAAACAACGUCGUUCUUUCUUCCAGGUGGCAGUUUCAGGAUGGGAGAAGCAAAGGAAUGGGUACAGAAUGGGAUCAGGAGGUUGUAGGGAAAGUGGACCCCCAGAAAAGAGUGUUGUGCCUAGCACAAGGUUUCUUGAGAGGUUGAACUGCCUUUGCUAAU